GGGAAGAGCUCAAAUUUGAAAUCUGGUAGCCUUCGGUUGCCCGAGUUGUAAUCUAGAGAAGUGUUUUCCGCGUUGGCCCAUGUACAAGUCCCUUGGAACAGGGCGUCAUAGAGGGUGAGAAUCCCGUCCUUGACAUGGACCCCCAAUGCUUUGUGAUACACUUUCAACGAGUCGAGUUGUUUGGGAAUGCAGCUCAAAAUGGGUGGUGAAUUCCAUCUAAAGCUAAAUAUUGGCGAGAGACCGAUAGCGAACAAGUACCGUGAGGGAAAGAUGAAAAGCACUUUGGAAAGAGAGUUAAACAGUACGUGAAAUUGUUGAAAGGGAAACGAUUGAAGUCAGUCAUGCUCUUUGGAUUAAGCCGUUCUGCGGUGUAUUUCAUUGAGCGGGGUCAACAUCAGUUUUGAUCGCUGGAAAAGGGCAGGAGGAAGGUAGCACUCUCGGGUGAACUUAUAGCCUCUUGUCGUAUACAGUGAUUGGGACUGAGGAACGCAGCAUGCCUUUUGGCCGGGAUUCGUCCACGUACAUGCUUAGGAUGUUGACAUAAUGGCUUUAAACGACCCGUCUU
rnacentral:rRNA from 2 species